rnacentral:rRNA from 1 species
CCUACGGGUGGCAGCAGUGAGGAAUAUUGGUCAAUGGCCGGAAGGCUGAACCAGCAAUGCCGCGUGAAGGUCAGUGCCCUUUGGGCGUUAAACUUCUUUUGUGCGGGAGCAAUAAUGGUCACGUGUGGCCAGACGAGAGUACCGUACGAAUAAGCAUCGGCUAACUCCGGGCCAGCAGCCGCGGUAAUACGGGGGAUGCAAGCGUUAUACGGAUUUUUUGGGGUUAAAGGGUGCGUAGGCUGUGAGGUAAAUCAGAGGUGAAAUGCCCCCGCUCAACGGGGUGAAGUGCCAUUGAUACUGCCUUGCUGGAGUGCGGGUGAGGUGGGAGGAAUGUGUGGUGUAGCGGUGAAAUGCGUAGAUAUCAGGCAGAACACCGAGUGCGAAGGCAUCUCACGGAUCCGCGAUUGACGCUGAGGCACGAAAGCGUGGGUAUCAAACAGGAUUAGAUACCCGAGUAGUC